GCUGGCGUCCCAGUAGGCGCUGGGGUCCCAGUUCCCUGAACCCAGCCGACCUGGUUCAAUUACUCUGCUGACCUGGAAAGUUCUGCUGCAGCACAGCUGGAAUUGGAAAGUGAAAGUGAAGCUGCAGUAGCACAGGUGGCCUGAACAGAGAGCAAAGUAAACUGGACAAGUCUCAAGAUUGGCUCCAAACUGAUUCAAAAGACAUUACAUAAGGGCUGCCAAACAACCGUAAGGGAGAUUUUCAAAAAAGGCCUGUGCGGCACCUCAGGACCCAGGGUGGGUUCGGAAACCUGGGUUUGAAGCUCCUGUCCUGUUGCCGAUGAGUUGUGGAAAGAAAAAUGGAUGAAGGGACUGGCAGAGUCUGGGACGGAGCAGGGCUGAAGACAAACUGAGAUGAUUUAGCUUCUCUGCUCCCCACACUCACCACUGGCUGUGGAAAAGUGAGCGGUGGUGAUGUGCCUUGCGGGAACGUGAGUGGGAGUGUCAUGAUGAUAUUGACCUUGGGAGGUGCUCAGUGAAAGCUUCAUUGUUUUAUAGAG